rnacentral:rRNA from 1 species
GAGUUUGAUCCUGGCUCAGGACGAACGCUGGCGGCGCGCCUAACACAUGCAAGUCGAACGAGCAAAGAGGAGCUUGCUUCUCUGAGCGAGUGGCGAACGGGUGAGUAACGCGUGAGGAAGCUGCCUCAAAGAGGGGGACAACAGUUGGAAACGACUGCUAAUACCGCAUAAGCCCACGGGUCGGCAUCGACCAGAGGGAAAAGGAGUGAUCCGCUUUGAGAUGGCCUCGCGUCCGAUUAGCUAGUUGGUGAGGUAACGGCCCACCAAGGCGACGAUCGGUAGCCGGACUGAGAGGUUGAACGGCCACAUUGGGACUGAGACACGGCCCAGACUCCUACGGGAGGCAGCAGUGGGGAAUAUUGCACAAUGGGGGAAACCCUGAUGCAGCGACGCCGCGUGGAGGAAGAAGGUCUUCGGAUUGUAAACUCCUGUUGUUGAGGAAGAUAAUGACGGUACUCAACAAGGAAGUGACGGCUAACUACGUGCCAGCAGCCGCGGUAAAACGUAGGUCACAAGCGUUGUCCGGAAUUACUGGGUGUAAAGGGAGCGCAGGCGGGAAGACAAGUUGGAAGUGAAAUCCAUGGGCUCAACCCAUGAACUGCUUUCAAAACUGUUUUCUUGAGUAGUGCAGAGGUANGCGGAAUUCCCGGUGUAGCGGUGGAAUGCGUAGAUAUCGGGAGGAACACCAGUGGCGAAGGCGGCCUACUGGGCACCAACUGACGCUGAGGCUCGAAAGUGUGGGUAGCAAACAGGAUUAGAUACCCUGGUAGUCCACACCGUAAACGAUGAUUACUAGGUGUUGGAGGAUUGACCCCUUCAGUGCCGCAGUUAACACAAUAAGUAAUCCACCUGGGGAGUACGACCGCAAGGUUGAAACUCAAAGGAAUUGACGGGGGCCCGCACAAGCAGUGGAGUAUGUGGUUUAAUUCGACGCAACGCGAAGAACCUUACCAAGUCUUGACAUCCUGCGACGGACAUAGAAAUAUGUCUUUCCUUCGGGACGCAGAGACAGGUGGUGCAUGGUUGUCGUCAGCUCGUGUCGUGAGAUGUUGGGUUAAGUCCCGCAACGAGCGCAACCCUUAUGGUCAGUUACUACGCAAGAGGACUCUGGCCAGACUGCCGUUGACAAAACGGAGGAAGGUGGGGAUGACGUCAAAUCAUCAUGCCCUUUAUGACUUGGGCUACACACGUACUACAAUGGCGUUAAACAAAGAGAAGCAUGACCGCGAGGUGGAGCAAAACUCAGAAACAACGUCCCAGUUCGGACUGCAGGCUGCAACUCGCCUGCACGAAGUCGGAAUUGCUAGUAAUCGUGGAUCAGCAUGCCACGGUGAAUACGUUCCCGGGCCUUGUACACACCGCCCGUC